rnacentral:rRNA from 1 species
GACGAACGCUGGCGGCGUGCCUAACACAUGCAAGUCGAGCGAGUGAAUCUCCUUCGGGAGUGAAACUAGCGGCGGACGGGUGAGUAACACGUGGGCAACCUGCCUCAUAGAGGGGAAUAGCCUUUCGAAAGGAAGAUUAAUACCGCAUAAGAUUGUAGCUUCGCAUGAAGUAGCAAUUAAAGGAGUAAUCCGCUAUGAGAUGGGCCCGCGGCGCAUUAGCUAGUUGGUGAGGUAACGGCUCACCAAGGCGACGAUGCGUAGCCGACCUGAGAGGGUGGGCGGCCACAGUGGGACUGGGACACGACCCAGACGCCUACUGGAGGCAGAAGUGGGGAAUAUUGCACAAUGGGGGAAACCCUGAUGCAGCAACGCCGCGUGAGUGAUGACGGCCUUCGGGUUGUAAAGCUCUGUCUUCAGGGACGAUAAUGACGGUACCUGAGGAGGAAGCCACGGCUAACUACGUGCCAGCCGCCGCGGUAA